rnacentral:rRNA from 1 species
AUGGAGGCGCUGAACGAGCUCUGCGACCUGGUGGCCGCGCACCCGGAUCUCCUCCUCGCCGACAAGCUCACCUGGCUCUCCUCCCGCUGCGCGGCCCCGCCCUCGCCCUCCUCCGCCCCGCAGCGCGCGGCCCGGGCGCACCUCCACUCGCUCCUCGCCCUCGCGCGCCUCCUCCCCGCGGGCGCCGGCCCGCCCCCGGCCCCGCUCCUCGCCUUCCUCGCCUCCCGUGCCUUCCUCUCGCCGGCCUUCUGGCCGCAGUCCUUCGCGCCCGCGCCCUUCCUCGCCAAGCUCCUCCCCUUCCUCACCGCCGCGCCCGCCUCCCCCGCCCUCUCCUCCGCGCUCUCCGCCGCGCUCCUCGCCGCGCUCGACGCCACCGACCCCGCCUCCGCGCCGCUCGCCCGGGCCUUCCUCUCCGCCGCCGCCGCCAAGCCCCCGCACCUCCUCCCCGCCGACACCGCGCCCGUCGCCCAGCGCCUCUUCCUCGAGUUCCCCGGCUCCGACGAGGCCCCGCCCAGGGCCAAGGGGAAGGGCGAGGACGCGGCGGGGGAGGAGAAUGGAGGGAUCAAGGAGGCGGUGCAGAGGUUCGAGGGGGAGCAGAUCGAGGCCCUCGAGCGUAAGGAGGUCGCCUUCAGGCUCAUCGUUCAGAUGCUCGGGGGCGAGGGCGGGCUGGAGGCCGACAAGGUUGCCAAGGUCAGGAAUGCCGCCGCAUGGCAGGUCCGUUCGCUCACGGAUUUUCUCAAGAUUAGGAAGCGGGACUGGAAGGAGCAGGGUGCACAGCUGAGGGUGAGGAUAAACACCAAAUUAUCGUGUUGCCAAGCUGCGGUGGUGGUUCUGGUCCGGAGUGUCUCGGUCUUGGACGCUGACAGCAAAGCUUCCAAGGAUAUGCUUCAGCAGACUCUUGCUUGGUUCAUCGAAGCCACCAAGUCGUGCAUCCUCUCAUCCUGGCGAAAACUCAAGAUUUGUGAGGAGCUCUUUUGCACUCUGCUCAAUGGGAUCAGCCAGAUAACAGUCUCGCGUGGGGGCCAGCUCCUGCCGGUUCUGCUGAUUCCCUUGAAACCGCUUGUUGUCAGCACAUGUUCGCAGGCUGACAUGACGGGCUGUAGCCCUGGCGCUUUGUUCGAGGCAGUGGUGAAGUUGAGCUGUGAGGUCAUAGAGUUUGGCUGGACAAAGGAUAGGGCUCUAGUUGACACAUUCAUUAUGCGUUUAGCUGCAUAUGUUCGUGAACGGAAUGAUUAUGAGGAAGAGGAUGGUAAAGGAAAAGACACAGUUCCGGUGAUGCGACUUAAUGUAGUACGCCUUCUGGCUGAGUUGUGUGUAUGCUUGAAAAGAUGGGAAGUUGUAGACAUGAUCUUGCCCCUUUUCAUUGAACAUCUAGAGGAGGGUGACGCUUCAUCUCCAAGUUUAUUGCGUCUAAAAUUGUUAGAUGCAAUAUCUCGUGUGGCAUGCUUGGGUUUUGAAAAAUCAUACCGUGAGAGCAUUGUAUUGAUGACAAGAAGCUACCUGGAUAAGGUUAAAGCUGUAGGAGCUGCAGAGAACAACACAUUGCCAUCAGAAGCAACAGCUGAGCGAACAGAGACUCUCCCCGCAGGUUUCUUACUUGUUGCUUCCAACCUCACUAGCACAAAACUCAGAUCUGAUUAUCGUCAUAGGCUGUUGUCUCUGUGCUCUGAUGUGGGGCUAGCCGCUGAAUCUAAAAGUGGGAGGAGUGGUGCUGAUUUGAUGGGCCCGUUACUUCCUGCGGUUGCUGAAAUAUGUUCAGAUUUUGAUCCAGUGUCCUCUGUCGAGCCAUCUCUAUUGAAAUUGUUUCGCAACCUGUGGUUCUAUAUUGUCUUGUUUGGGUUAGCUCCUCCGAUACAGAACAACCAGGCAUCUACAAAACCUGCUUCCGCUCCGUUAAACACUGGGGAGAGCUGUGUAGCCCUGCAAGCUGUUGCUGGACCCUACAUGUGGAAUAGCCAAUGGUCUGUAGCAGUGCAACGCAUUGCACAAGGAUCUCCGCCGCUGGUUGUCAGUUCAGUGAAAUGGCUUGAAGAUGAGCUAGAGUUAAAUGCUCUGCAUAAUCCAGGCAGUCGUCGUGGCAAUGGUGAUGAAAAGGCAGCUGUUGGACAGAGAACUGCACUUUCUGCAGCUUUGGGGGGUCGAGUUGAGGUAGCAGCAAUGAGUACAAUUUCAGGAGUUAAAGCUACAUAUCUCCUCGCAGUUGCUUUCCUUGAGAUAUUGCGUUUUAGCGGCAGUGGUGGCAUACUUUCAGCUACAUUGAAUAAAUCAAAUAGUUCGUUCGGUUGUGUGUUUGAGUAUCUGCUUACUCCCAACUUGACACCAGCAGUAACUCAGUGUUUGACGGCAGUUGUGCACAGAGCUUUUGAAACAAUGUUGUCAUGGCUGGAGGAACGUACGUCUGACAUAGGCGAAGAAUCUAAUGUGAGAGAAUCUGUUCUUUCUGUUCAUGCUGGCUUCCUUAUAAAGAGCAUGUCACAAAGAGAUGAACAUGUUCGUGAUUUGAGUGUUAAGUUGUUAACUCAGCUAAAGGAAAAAUUUCCACAGGUUCUGUGGAACUCCUCAUGCUUGGAUUUACUUCUAAUAUCUGUUCAUAAUGAGUUGACUUCUGGUCCUGUCAGUGAUCCUGCUUGGGUUGCCACUAUACGCUCACUAUAUCAGAAGAUUGCUAGGGAAUGGAUAACAAGUGCUCUUUCAUAUGCUCCAUGUACCACUCAAGGCCUAAUACAGGAAAACUUUUGCAAGCCGAGUGGUGCACAAAGAACACAGCAUACAGCAGAUGUUGUCUCACUUUUAUCCGAGAUACGUAUUUGUAUUGGAAAGAAUGAUUGGAAUGGCAUCAGGACUGCUAAUAUCCCAGCAGUUAUGGAUUCUGCUGCAGCAGCAUCAGGAGCGAGAAAAGAAGCACCUGACAUCACCCUGGAAGUACUGUCAACUGCAGUAGUGAGUGCAACUGUGAAAUGUAACCAUGCAGGGGAGAUUGCUGGUAUGAGAAGGCUGUUCAGUACUAUGGGCGGCUUAAACAUGGGUGUGUCUCCUCCUGGUACACAGUCUGGGCAGGCCCCACAGUCAUUUGAUGAAGUUUUUCUGUCCAAAUUUGUUCGGCUUCUUCAGGACUUUGUUGUUACGGCGGAAAAACAACCAAUAGAUAAUUCACAAUUUCGUGAAACUUGUUCUCAGGCUACAGCAUUACUUCUUGAUCAUCUGGUAUCUGAUUCUCGAACGAAUCUGGAAGGGUUUUCUCAGCUUAUACGACUUCUAUGCUGGUGCCCUGCUUAUAUUUCUACCCCUGAUGCAAUGGAGACUGGAAUUUAUAUCUGGACGUGGCUAGUUUCUGCAGCACCUUCUUUAGGUCCUCUUGUGCUUGCGGAACUUGUUGAUGCAUGGCUGUGGACAAUGGAUACAAAACGUGGUUUGUUUGCAUCUGAUAUGAAGUACUGCGGGCCUGAUGCAAAAUUGAGGCCACAUCUUAUUCCUGGUGAACCUGAGGCACCACCAGAAAAGGAUCCAGUUGAAGCAAUAAUUGCCCAUAGGCUCUGGCUCGGCUUCUUUAUUGAUCGCUUUGAGGUGGUUCGGCAUGAUAGCAUUGAGCAACUUCUACUUCUAGGCCGUAUGCUGCAAGGGAUGAUGAAGUCUCCAACUCAUUUUUCUCACCAUCCUGCUGCUACUGGCACUUUCUUUACCGCGAUGCAACUUGGUCUGAACUUUUGCUCGUGCCAGGAUCAAUUUAACUUGCAGAAAUGUAAUAUGGGGCUUCAGUUGUUAGAGGACAGAGUAUACCGUGCUGCUUUGGGAUGGUUUGCUUAUGCACCUGAAUUUUAUGAGUCUCCAAACAAAAGUUUUGCUCAGAGAGAGGCCCAGUCUGUUUCAAUAUUUGUGCACAAUCUGCAAAAUACCAGUUCCACUGAUUCUGGUUCGAAGCCACAGGGACGUGAAGGUGAACUUAACACGGCGGAUCAGAUCCACCCAGUGUGGGGUUCUGUGGAUAACUAUGCAACUGCGAAAGAAAAGCGUAAGCAAUUACUUUUGAUGCUUUCUCAGAAUGAGGCGGACAGGCUUGAAGUCUGGGCACAACCAAUAAACACAAAAGACACAUCAACAUUUCGUGGCAAAAUUAGCUCAGACAAAUGGAUUGAUCACUGCAGAACUGCUUUUGCUGUUGAUCCUCGAAUUGCACUCUCUAUGCCUAUGAGGUUUCCGACAAAUGCAACAUUGCAGUCUGAAAUUACUCAGUUGGUACAGACACACAUACUGGAGCUCCGUACAAUUCCUGAAGCAUUACCGUUUUUCAUCACUCCAAAGGCAGUGGACGAAAACUCAGCACUGUUACAGCAACUUCCACACUGGGCUCCGUGUUCUGUUACGCAGGCAUUGGAGUUUUUUACCUCUCCUUAUAAAGGACAUCCCCGUGUUAUGGCAUAUGUUCUUCGUGUCAUGGAGACUUAUCCACCUGAGACUGUCACCUUUUUUAUGCCACAGUUGGUACAGUCUCUCAGAUACGAUGAUGGGAAAUUAGUUGAAGGAUACUUGCUUGGAGCUGCUCGAAGAAGUAAUAUAUUUGCUCACAUCUUAAUAUGGCAUCUGCAGGGGGAAUGUGAGGAAGAUGACAAUGAAAAGGAAGGAGCUGCCCCAAAGCCCAAUGCAUUCCAGUCCUUGCUUCCUGCUGUUAGGGAGAAAAUUGUUGACGGUUUCACUCAGGAAGCUCGGGACAUGUUUGAAAGAGAGUUUGAUUUUUUUGACAAGGUCACCUCGAUUUCUGGUGUUCUUUUCCCUCUCCCCAAGGAAGAGCGAAGAGCUGGUAUUAAAAGGGAGCUGGAGAAGAUUACUAUUCCAGGUGACGACCUCUAUCUACCUACUGCAACAAACAAGUUAGUACGGGGCAUACAGCUGGACAGUGGUAUUCCUCUCCAGUCUGCUGCAAAAGUUCCAAUAAUGAUUACUUUUAACGUGAUUGAUCGUGACGGGAACCCAAAUGAUGUAAUGCCACAGGCUUGCAUUUUUAAGGUUGGUGAUGACUGUAGGCAGGAUGUGCUGGCCCUUCAAGUUAUUGCCCUAUUAAGGGACAUAUUUGAAGCAGUCGGAUUAAACCUGUAUCUCUUUCCCUAUGGUGUUUUGCCCACUGGCCCUGAACGAGGCAUAAUUGAGGUUGUCCCAAAUACUCGGAGUAGAAAUCAAAUGGGUGAAACAACUGAUGGUGGUUUAUUAGAAAUAUUUCAGCAAGAUUAUGGCCCUGUAGGGUCACCUUCUUUUGAAGCUGCACGUCAAAUGUUUAUUGUUAGUAGUGCUGGAUAUGCUGUUGCCAGCCUGCUUCUUCAACCGAAGGAUCGGCAUAAUGGCAAUCUUCUCUUUGAUAGCCAGGGGAGACUAGUUCAUAUUGAUUUCGGAUUUAUUUUGGAGAUUUCCCCUGGAGGUAACAUGGGGUUUGAGAGUGCACAUUUCAAGCUAAGCCAUGAGAUGACUCAAUUGCUUGAUCCAUCUGGAACUAUGAAGAGUGACACCUGGAAUCAGUUUCUCAGACUGUGUGUCAAGGGAUACCUAGCGGGAAGGAGACACAUGAAUGGCAUUGUAACUACAGUACAGUUGAUGGUGGACAGUGGACUCCCUUGCUUUAGCAGGGGAGAGCCCAUUGCUAAUCUUCGGAAGCGGUUUCAUCCAGAGAUGAAUGAGCGCGAGGCAGCCAAUUUCAUGGUACGGACAUGUGUCGAUGCCUACAACAAAUGGACCACCGCUGGGUACGAUUUGAUUCAAUACUUGCAGCAAGGUAUUGAGAAAUAG